UCCAUUWAUCAAGAACGAAAGUUAGAGGUUCGAAGGCGAUCAGAUACCGCCCUAGUUCUAACCAUAAACGAUGCCAGCCAGCGAUCCGGCUGUGUUCCUCAAAUGACACGCCGGGCAGCUUCCGGGAAACCAAAGCUUUUGGGUUCCGGGGGAAGUAUGGUUGCAAAGCUGAAACUUAAAGGAAUUGACGGAAGGGCACCACCAGGAAUGGAGCCUGCGGCUUAAUUUGACUCAACACGGGAAAACUUACCCGGCCCGGACACAGGAAGGAUUGACAGAUUAAGAGCUCUUUCUUGAUUCUGUGGGUGGUGGUGCAUGGCCGUUCUUAGUUGGUGGAGCGAUUUGUCUGGUUAAUUCCGAUAACGAACGAGACUCUAGCCUACUAAAUAGACGUUCCGAUCAUUUUCGUCGGACGUUCUUCUUAGAGGGACAAGCGGCGUUUAGCCGCACGAGACAGAGCAAUAACAGGUCUGUGAUGCCCUUAGAUGUCCGGGGCCGCACGCGCGCUACAUUGAAGGAAUCAGCGUGUGCUUUCCCUGUCCGACAGGACUGGGUAACCCGUUGAACCUCCUUCGUGCUGGGGAUAGGGGCUUGUAAUUGUUCCCCUUGAACGAGGAAUUCCCAGUAAGCACGAGUCAUAAGCUCGUGUUGAUUACGUCCCUGCCCUUUGUACACACCGCCCGUCGCUACUACCGAUUGAAUGAUUUAGUGAGGUCUUCGGACUGGCGCUCGGAGCGGCCCUCGGGUCGCGCCGGCGUGCCGGAAAGAUGACCAAACUUGAUCAUUUAGAGGAAGUAAAAGUCGUAACAAGGU
rnacentral:rRNA from 1 species